AAAUAGGAUUCCCUUAGUAAUGGCGAACGAAGGGGGAACAGCUUGGGUUGGAAACUAAGGCUUCGGUCUUGGGUUGUGACCUGCAGACACAGCACCAACAGCGGCGCAAGCGUAAGCCUCUUGGAAAAGAGCAUUCACUCGGGUGAGAAUCCUGUGCGUCGCUUGACGUCCGCUGCGUACGGUGCGUGCUCUUAAAGUCACGCUCCUUGGAAUUGGAGCGUAAAUUAGGUGGUAAAUUUCAUCUACAGCGAAAUAUAAGCUCGAGACCGAUAGCAAACAAGUACCAUGAGGGAAAGAUGAAAAGGACUUUGGAAAGAGAGUUAAAAGUGCUUGAAAUCGCUGAAGGGGAAGCGAAUGGAACCAAGACCCUGGCUGAGACUGCUGCGAGUUUUCACUAGCCUUGUGUGUGAAUGCGUAAGCUUUUCGCACAUACGUGAAGGAAUGCUCGCGGUGUUUCUCAGCUUGCUCGUCAGCUGCAACGCUCGCUUGAGGAUGGCCCUUGUCGCGCGCGGCUCUUCUGCGGAAUUGCUUCGGCGCCUCUGGGGAUUCAGGCGAGCGUGUCUUGCUGAUUAAAUGGUUCUCUUCGACCCGUCUUGAAACACGGACCAAGGAGUCUAGCACAUGUGCAAGUUCUCGGGCGACAAGCCAGUGAGCAUAAUGAAGGUGACUGCUGGGAUGCUUUGCGCUAGCAACCGACUAAUCAAUUGGGAGAAGUUUGAGUCAGAGCGUGUGUGUUAGGACCCGAAAGAUGGUG
rnacentral:rRNA from 1 species